rnacentral:rRNA from 2 species
CGUCAGCUCGUGUUGUGAAAUGUUGGGUUAAGUCCCGCAACGAGCGCAACCCUUAUCCUUUGUUGCCAGCGGUCCGGCCGGGAACUCAAAGGAGACUGCCAGUGAUAAACUGGAGGAAGGUGGGGAUGACGUCAAGUCAUCAUGGCCCUUACGACCAGGGCUACACACGUGCUACAAUGGCGCAUACAAAGAGAAGCGACCUCGCGAGAGCAAGCGGACCUCAUAAAGUGCGUCGUAGUCCGGAUUGGAGUCUGCAACUCGACUCCAUGAAGUCGGAAUCGCUAGUAAUCGUGGAUCAGAAUGCCACGGUGAAUACGUUCCCGGGCCUUGUACACACCGCCCGUCACACCAUGGGAGUGGGUUGCAAAAGAAGUAGGUAGCUUAACCUUCGGGAGGGCGCUUACCACUUUGUGAUUCAUGACUGGGGUGAAGUCGUAACAAGGUAACCGUAGGGGAACCUGCGGUUGGAUCACCUCCUUA